GAUGAACGCUAGCGGCAGGCUUAAUACAUGCAAGUCGUGGGGCAGCAGGGGUAGCAAUACCCGCUGGCGACCGGCAAACGGGUGCGGAACACGUACGCAACCUUCCUUUAACUGGAGAAUAGCCCCUCGAAAGAGGGAUUAAUACUCCGUAACAUGUACAUGUGGCAUCACAAGUACAUUAUAGCUCCGGCGGUUAAAGAUGGGCGUGCGCCUGAUUAGAUAGUUGGCGGGGUAACGGCCCACCAAGUCUGCGAUCAGUAACUGGUGUGAGAGCACGACCAGUCACACGGGCACUGAGACACGGGCCCGACUCCUACGGGAGGCAGCAGUAAGGAAUAUUGGUCAAUGGACGCAAGUCUGAACCAGCCAUGCCGCGUGGAGGAUUAAGGGCCCUCU
rnacentral:rRNA from 1 species